rnacentral:rRNA from 1 species
GACGAACGCUGGCGGUAGUGCUUAACACGUGCAAGUCGAACGAGAAGCUUUUUAAUGAACCUUCGGGUGAUUUAAGAAGCAGACAGUGGCGAACGGGUGAGUAACGCGUGGGCAACCUGCCUUUCGGAGCGGAAUAGCCUCGGGAAACCGGGAGUAAAGCCGCAUAACAUUAUUUUUUCGCAUGAAGAAAUAAUCAAAACUCCGGUGCCGAAAGAUGGGCCCGCGUCCUAUUAGCUGGUUGGUGAGGCAACGGCUCACCAAGGCGACGAUAGGUAGCCGGUCUGAGAGGUUGAACGGCCACAUUGGGACUGAGACACGGCCCAA